rnacentral:rRNA from 1 species
UACAGAGGGUGCAAGCGUUAAUCGGAAUUACUGGGCGUAAAGCGUGCGUAGGUGGUUCGGUAAGUCAGAUGUGAAAGCCCUGGGCUUAACCUGGGAAUUGCGUUUGAUACUGCUUGACUAGAGUUUGGUAGAGGGAAGUGGAAUUCCACGUGUAGCGGUGAAAUGCGUAGAUAUGUGGGGGAACACCAGUGGCGAAGGCGGCUUCCUGGACUAAAACUGACACUGAGGCACGAAAGCGUGGGGAGCAAACAGGAUUAGAUACCCUGGUAGUCCACGCCGUAAACGAUGGGUACUAGACGUUGGGAGGUUUAACCUUCUAGUGUCGCAGCUAACGCAAUAAGUACCCCGCCUGGGGAUACGGCCGCAAGGUUAAAACUCAAA